rnacentral:rRNA from 1 species
CCUACGGGAGGCAGCAGUGGGGAAUAUUGCGCAAUGGGCGAAAGCCUGACGCAGCGACGCCGCGUGAGGGAUGAAGGUCUUCGGAUCGUAAACCCCUGUCAGCAGGGAAGAACGGUCACUUUGCUAAUCAGCAGUGAAUUGACGGCUCCUGCAAAGGAAGCACCGGCUAACUCCGUGCGAGCAGCCGCGGUAAUACGGAGGGUGUGAGCGUUAAUGGGAAUUACUGGGCGUAAAGCGCUUGUAGGCGGUAUGUCAAGUCAAGGGUGAAAUCCCCGCGCUCAACGUGGGAACUGCCUUUGAAACUGGCAAACUAGAGUGUGUGAGAGGAUAGUGGAAUUCCAGGUGUAGGAGUGAAAUCCGUAGAUAUCUGGAGGAACAUCAGUGGCGAAGGCGACUAUCUGGCACAUAACUGACGCUGAGGAGCGAAAGCGUGGGUAGCAAACAGGAUUAGAUACCCUUGUAGUC